GCAGCAGUAGCUCAGACUAAGAGCGCCGGCCUUGUAAGCCGGAGGUCGGGGGUUAAAACCCCCCCUCCUGCU
rnacentral:tRNA from 1 species